GGCUUACCAAGGCAACGAUGCAUAGCCGACCUGAGAGGGUGAUCGGCCACACUGGAAACGGUCCAGACUCCUACGGGAGGCAGCAGUAGGGAAUCUUCCGCAAUGGGCGAAAGCCUGACGGAGCAACGCCGCGUGAGUGAUGAAGGUCUUCGGAUCGUAAAACUCUGUUAUUAGGGAAGAACAUAUGUGUAAGUAACUGUGCACAUCUUGACGGUACCUAAUCAGAAAGCCACGGCUAACUACGUGCCAGCAGCCGCGGUAAUACGUAGGUGGCAAGCGUUAUCCGGAAUUAUUGGGCGUAAAGCGCGCGUAGGCGGUUUUUUAAGUCUGAUGUGAAAGCCCACGGCUCAACCGUGGAGGGUCAUUGGAAACUGGAAAACUUGAGUGCAGAAGAGGAAAGUGGAAUUCCAUGUGUAGCGGUGAAAUGCGCAGAGAUAUGGAGGAACACCAGUGGCGAAGGCGACUUUCUGGUCUGUAA
rnacentral:rRNA from 1 species